GGACAUACUGGUGGUGUCAUCUGUCAGUCUCAGAGAGACUUUUUGUACAACAGCUGUGUUGUAGUUCUUAUCCAAAGUACAUAAAGAUGCAAAGAGACUCCAGGGAGACCAACUGAAGUUGGUACUGACUAUUUUCCAACUGCUAGCUAUUUUUAUUGAUCAGUUUUUACAGCUACUAGUGACUGAGAGUCCAUCCUUUUUUAAAUUCAGGAUGAGAGGCUUACAUCUAAUGAUUGGUUAGUAACUUUAGGUGUAUGUAGCCUAUAUACUUCCAUUCCCCAUAGAGAAGGCU